AGUGAACGCUGGCGGUAGGCCUAACACAUGCAAGUCGAACGGCAGCACAGUAAGAGCUUGCUCUUACGGGUGGCGAGUGGCGGACGGGUGAGGAAUACAUCGGAAUCUACUUUUUCGUGGGGGAUAACGUAGGGAAACUUACGCUAAUACCGCAUACGACCUACGGGUGAAAGCAGGGGAUCUUCGGACCUUGCGCGAUUGAAUGAGCCGAUGUCGGAUUAGCUAGUUGGCGGGGUAAAGGCCCACCAAGGCGACGAUCCGUAGCUGGUCUGAGAGGAUGAUCAGCCACACUGGAACUGAGACACGGUCCAGACUCCUACGGGAGGCAGCAGUGGGGAAUAUUGGACAAUGGACGCAAGCCUGAUCCAGCCAUACCACGUGGGUGAAGAAGGCCUUCGGGUUGUAAAGCCCUUUUGUUGGGAAAGAAAAGCAGCAGGUUAAUACCCCGCUGUUCUGACGGUACCCAAAGAAUAAGCACCGGCUAACUUCGUG
rnacentral:rRNA from 1 species